AUACGGAGGGUGCAAGCGUUGUUCGGAAUUACUGGGCGUAAAGCGCGCGUAGGCGGUCGGUUAUGUCAGAUGUGAAAGUCCUCGGCUCAACCGGGGAAGUGCAUUUGAAACUGGCAGACUUGAGUACUGGAGGGGGUGGUGGAAUUCCCGGUGUAGAGGUGAAAUUCGUAGAUAUCGGGAGGAAUACCGGUGGCGAAGGCGACCACCUGGCCAGAUACUGACGCUGAGGUGCGAAAGCGUGGGGAGCAAACAGGAUUAGAUACCCUAGUAGUCC
rnacentral:rRNA from 1 species